CCUACGGGAGGCUGCAGUGAGGAAUAUUGGUCAAUGGGCGCAAGCCUGAACCAGCCAAGUAGCGUGAAGGAUGACGGCCCUAUGGGUCGUAAACUUCUUUUAUAUGGGAAUAAAGUGCAGGAUGUAUACUGUUUUGUAUGUACCUUAUGAAUAAGGAUAGGCUAACUCCGUGCCAGCAGCCGCGGUAAUACGGAGGAUCCGAGCGUUAUCCGGAUUUAUUGGGUUUAAAGGGGGCGUAGGCGGGUUUUAAGUCAGGUGUGAAAGUUUGUGGCUUAACCAUAGAAUUGCCGUUGAAACUGGGAGGCUUGAGUAUGUUUGAGGCAGGCGGAAUGCGUGGUGUAGCGGUGAAAUGCUUAGAUAUCACGCAGAACCCCGAUUGCGAAGGCAGCCUGCUAAGCUAUGACUGACGCUGAUGCACGAAAGCGUGGGGAUCAAACAGGAUUAGAUACCCGAGUAGUC
rnacentral:rRNA from 1 species